rnacentral:lncRNA from 10 species
UGCUCCGGCUUCUGCCGCCUUCCCCAAUGAAUUUCUGAAAUGAAAGGAGCCUAUUCCCUGCCUUUCCACCAGUGCAGAAUGAAAAUGAGAGCAAGGAACAGCAGAGCACAGGGUCUUGCUCUGAGUGAAUGCACCCCUCGUGCACCCGGGAGCUGAGAUUAAUAAUGAAUAUAAGAAAACGUUUGUGAAAAUUAACUGCAAGUGAUUGGGAAGCUUGUGUGUAUUGGGCUUUGGUUUGUUUCAAAGAUCAUCCAAAUCAGAAUCUGAGCUUAUUAAAAUGCUGUUUCCUGGACAGACCUCAGCCUGCAGAAGCAGAAUCUCCGUGGUGGGAUCCAGAGCUUGUAUCUUGGCCAAGCCCUCCCAGAAGUUUCUAACAUACACUGAAGGUUCUCCUGCUUCAAGAGCCAAGAUCCUCAGGCACAAAAUCAGGCAACAGGAGUCCUGGGCUCUGCCCUUGCUUGUGGAGUUCUGGAAACGAAUGCAUUUGGAGUAGGUGAUGUUUAAUGAUCCUUUCUGUUCUCAAUUCUUCUAGAAGAGGAACAGGAGAUCAACGGCUCUUCUCCUGAUGAGAUUGUUCUUAUUCUUAGUCAUCUCUGAUUUUUCUCAAAUGCCAAGUUCUGGUUCCCAGAUGGUGCUUUGAUGAAAGGUGAGGCAAUAUGAACACUCAGCCCAUCCUGAAAUAGGAAGAGUUUUGAUUCAUCAAGUGCUUUGGCUUUCUUUUCCCCUUUCAUAGAUUUAAAAAAUUUUGCAUGUUGGAGGAAGAUGCUCUAGUUUAAACAUACCUUCUUAAAGGGCAUGGUUGGAAAGGAGAUAGCAUCCCCCUUCCACUUUGUCACCUAUGCUGUGCCCACACUCCUUGGCAAUGCUAAGGCAAGGUAAAUGAUUAGUUUACUUUGUGCAUUUUGGAGGGGGCAGUGAAAUAGCAAGAUCAACAGAUGAGGAUCCCCCACGUGGGUCAGUUUCAGCUGGGCUUCUCCCAUGGAUAUACUGUCUACAUCUCUUUAGUAAACUCUAAUUCACAGGCCUUCAUUUCCAUGAAGCAGAAAAUACUGCAAUCAAUAAUUGAUAAAGUCCAUUUUGGAGCUUAUAACUUACCAUUUUGUUGUGGUUAGAAGGGAUUUGUAGAGGGUGGUUCUGAAUCCAUCAAAAUCCCUUGGGAAGCUUGUUGAAUAUGCAGAUCUUGAGCCCCCUUCUAAGAAACACUGGGUCAGUAAUAGAACCUACAAAUCAGUGUUUCACAGAAUUUCCUCAAAUGAUCAGGAAACACUUUAUUGAAUUUACUGAUGAAAAUUGGCCUGGGUAGUUUAUUUUAAAUUGGAAUCUAGUGAUCUUCAAGAUUAUCUGCUUUAAUAUUUUUUACUCCUUUUUCUGUGAUCUUCAUGGUAUUGAUACAAAUAAAGGUGCCAUGGUCAAACAGACUUGGUAAGAGAAGAGGCAGGUUUCUUCACUGUGUGUUCUCUGGAGCCUUUAGCCUGCUACUGUGUCAUGAAGCCUCAGGGUGGCCAUGGGGUAUGCAGCACCUCAAACAUUCUUGACCUGGGGAUAUUUUAUCCCCACACUGUCCCUCAAUGUUUCCAGAAAUACACUUUGCAAAUGCAAAUUUAUUUACCUUCUCUCUCUCUCUCUCUAUAUAUAUAUAUAUACACACACACAUAUACAUACACAUAUAUAUACAUAUAUACAUACAUAUAUAUGUAUAUACAUAUGCAUACAUAUAUACGUAUGUAUAUACACACAUUCUCUCUAUAUACACAUACACAUAUACACAUAUACAUACAUAUAUGUAUAUAUACACAUACAUAUAUGUAUAUAUACACAUAUACAUACAUAUAUAUGUAUAUAUGCAAGUAUACAUACAUAUAUACAUAUAUAUACACACACACACAUAUAUAUAUAUAUAGAGAGAGAGAGAACUUCUUGAGACCUCCAAUGAGGUGCUUUGGUUCUCUGAGGUCUCACGACCUCAUUGUUUUCAAGGAAACUUAUUCCCAGGAGACUUAAUGACAUCACAAUUGGAAGUCAACAUUUCUUUAUUGUCCUAUAAUACUCAUCAUUGUCUAAAACUAGUUACUAGUUACUGGCCAGCUUUGAAUAAAUCAUCUAGAUGAAUCAGAAGGUGAAUUCUAGGAUAUACUUUUGUCUCUUGCAUAUUCAGACUUGUGGUAAAUGGCACAAAGUGGAGGUGACUCCUCCAGAGUUUAGUCACAAGCUCUUGAGUCAUUUCUAUGAGCAGGUUGAUGAGCAAUAUCAAUCCAGCUUUUAUGGUGCACUUUCUUAUAUUUUAUUAAAGCAUCAAUAAAUGUAGGACUCCUUGGUGCCUGAUAAUUGGUUACAUUUAUUUCUUUAAAAAUAAUGUUUUUCUUGGUGUAUAAUGUAGGGUAAUUAAAAAAAUCAAAUUCCCUUUAUUGCAAAUUAAAGAAGUGCAAAGUUGUGUGGUCAAAAUUAAAGCUCAUUUUAGAGUUUUUUACAAACUCAUUUUAAAAAAAUUUCAUAACUUUAUUAGUCAUUCCUGAGAUACCAUUUUUAGCCAUGACUUAUUUUUUCCUUAUCACUCUCUAGGUCUCCAGCCCUCCAUUCCAUCUCUAUCUGUCUAUCAGAAAUCAAUACAUCCCUCAAGGUCCUGCUCAAAUAUCCUCUUUUACUUAAAGACUUUUGGGAUUGUCUUCACUGGGAAAAUACCUCUCCUACCUCAGAGUUUUGAUGUUGAUAUUUUAAAUUUAGCACUUUUGUAAAACUUAUCAUUUUAUGAAAUAUUAUAGUUAGUAUGUACAUGUUUUCUUGUCAUAUUAUAAACUCUUCAAGAUAAAGACAACUGUGUCACAUUAGACCCACAACAGAGUCUUGGUCAGUGCCAAGAACAUAGUUGUCUUUGUAAGCUCUGGCUGCUAGAAGAGAAUACCAGAUGCUAGGAGGAUUACAUAACAGACACUUCUUUCUCACAGUUCUGGAAACUGGGAUGUCCAAGAUCAAGGUGCUCACAGAUUUGAUUCUGGUGAGGACCAGUUCCUGGCUGCCUGCAAUAUGUGUCCUCAUACUGUGAGGGAAGAGAGAGAGAAAAUUCUGGGGUCUAUUGCUCUUCUUAUAGGGACACUAACCCCAUUGUAUUUCUAGCAGUUCACACUACUAGAAAGAACUACCUGAGACUGGGUAAUUUAUAAAUAAAAGAGAUUUAAUUGAUUCACAGUUCUACAUGGCUGGAGGUCUCAAGAAGCUUACAAUCAUGGCAGAAGGUGAAAGAGAAGCAGUACCUUCUUCACUAGGUGACAGCAGAGAGAGCAAGCACAGGGGAGACUGCCACUUUUAAACCAUCAGAUCUCAUGAGCUCUCCCUCACUAUUAUGAGAACAGUAUGGGAAAACUGCCCUGACCAUCCAAUCACCUCCCACCAGAUCCUUCCUCAAUACAUGGGGAUUACCAUUCAAGAUGAGAUUUCAGUGGGGGCCCAGAGCCAAACCAUAUUAUUCCAUCACUGGCCCCUCCAAAAUUUCAUGUCCUUCUCACAUUGCAAAAUCAAACAUGCCUUCCCAACAUUCCCCCAAAGUCUUAACUCAUUCCAACAUUAACUCAAAAGUCCACAGUCCAAUGUCUCAUCUCAGACAAGGCAACUCUCUUCCAUGUAUGAGCCUGUAAAAUCAAAAAUAAGCUACUUACUUCCAAGAUACAAUAGGGGUACAGGCAUUUGGUAAAUAUUCCCAUUCCAAAUAGUAGAAAUUGGCCAAAACAACAGGGCCACAGGCCCCCUGCAAGUCCAAAACCCAGCAGGGCACUCGUUAAAUCUUAAAGCUCCCAAACACUGUACUUUGACUUGAUGUCUCACAUCCAGGGAUGCUGAUGCAAGGGGUGGGCUCCCCUGGUAUUGGGCAGCUCUGUCCCUGUGCUUUUUCAGGGUACAGCACUCCUGGCUACUUUCAUGAGCUGGUGUUGAGUGUUUGCGACUUUUCUAGGUUCAUGGUGCAAGCGGUCAGUCCAUCUACCAUUCUGGACCCUGGAGGACAGUGGCUGUCUUCUCAUGGCUCCACUAAGCAGUGCCCCAGUGGGGACUCUGUGGGGGUUCCAACUCACAUUUCGUCUAUGCAUUGCCCUAGUAGAGGUUUUUCAUGAGGGCUCCACCUCUGCAGGAGACUUCUGCCUGGACAUUCAGGUGUUUCCAUGCAUCCUCUGAAACCUAGGUGGAGAUUCCCAAAGCUCAGCUCUUGUUUUCUGUGCACCCACAGUCCCAGCACCACAUGAAAGCCACCAAAGCUUGGGGUUUGCACCCUCUGAAGCAAUGACCUGAGCUGUAUUUUGGCCCCGUUUAUCCACAGCUGGAGCUGAAGCAGCUGAGAUGCCGGGUUCCAUGUCCUGAAGCUACACAGACCAGCAGGGCCCUGGGCCUGGCCCGUUAAACCAUUUUUCUUUCCUAGGCCUCUGGGCCUGUGAUGGAAGGGGCUGCCAUGAAGAUCUCUUAAAUGCCUUGGAGACAUUUUCCUCAUUGUCUUGGUGACUAACAUUGGGCUUCUCAUUACUUAUGCAAAUUUCUAAAGCUGGCUUGAAUUUCUCCCCAGAAAAUGGGUUUUUCCUUUCUAUUGCAUGGUCAGGCCACAGAUUGUACAAACUUUUAUGCUCUGCUUCCCAAUUAAAUAAAAGAACCAGCUUCAGAUAAUCUUUUUUGUGAAUGUAUAUGAUUGAAUGCUUUCAGAAUCGCCCAGCUUUUGAAUGUUUUGCUGCUUAGAAAUUUCUUCCACCAGACACCCUAAGUCAUUUGUAUCAAGUUCAAGUUCAAAAUGCCACCAGUGUCUUUGCUAAAGCAUAGCAAGAGUGACCUUUGUGCCAGUCCCCAAUAAGUUCCUCAUCUCAAUCUGAGAGCACUUCAGCCUGGACUUCAUUGUCCAUAUAACUAUCAGCAUUUUGGUCAAAACCAUUCAAUAAGUCUCAAGGAAGUUCCAAACUUUCCCACAUCUUCCUGUCUUCUUCUGAGCUCCCAAAACUGUUCCAACCUCUGCCUGUUACCCAGUUCCAAAGUCGUUUCCACAUUUUCAGAUACCUUUAUAGCAGUGCCUCAAACUCCCAGUACCAAUUUCCUGUUAGUUCAUUUUUACACUGCUAUAAAGAACUGCCUGAGACUGGGUGAUGUAUAAAUAAAAGACAUUUAAUUGACUCACAGUUCCACAUGGCUGGAAAGGCCUCAGGAAACUUACAAUCAUGGCGGAAUGUGAAGGAGAAGCAAUACCUUCUUCAAAAAGCGGAAGGAGACAGGGCAAGUGCAGGGAAAACUGCCACUUUUAAACCAUCAGAUCUCAUGAGAACUCCCUCUCUAUCAUGAGAACAGCAUGGGGGAAAUUGCCCCUAUGAUCUAAUCACCUCCCACCAGGUCCCUCCCUUGACACGUGGAGAUUACAAUUCAAGAUGAGAUCUGGGUGGGGACACAGAGCCAAACCACAUCACCCAUCAUGGGGGCUCUGCUCUCAUGACCUCAUUUAAACUUAAUGAUCUCCCAAAGGAACCACAUCCAAGUACCUGAGGGUAAGGGCUUCAACAUACGAAUGUGUAGAGGUAGAACUAUUCAGUGCAUAAGAAGGGUAGUAUUCAAAUAUUUAUUGAAUUAAUGAAAAAUGAACCUGUUUUUAAUGUUAGAUGGUAUUGGCAGGAGAGUACUUAAUAGUAGAUCGAUGCAUUCCUAAGACUGUAGAGGUUUGAAGCCUUUGUGGAAUCCCCAGCUUCAUCCAUUAGCCCUGAGUGGGAAGGAUCUACUAUGCUAUUUUUGUUUAUAGAGGAGGUGCUGCCAUUCAGAUGGUUAAGUGACUUUCACGGGAUAGCAGUGGUGAGACCAGAACCCAGGUCUUGCACCUUCCCAUAGCCCAGUGCCCUUCCCUCUGUGCCAUCUUUCUCCUGUUCAGUGCAGGCCCUCCCCACUACUCACCUGCCAUGAUGGCUCAUCAAAUCAGUUAUUUUUUCUAGAUAGUGACAAGGUCCGGAAACUUUGCACAAAAAUUUUAAAAGUAUGGAAUAUUGUACCUGCUUGUUGGAUUUGUUACAAUCUUUUUUUUAUUUGUACAAAUGGAUGGGGUACAUGUUCAAUUGUGUUACAUGUGUAGAACUAAGUAGUGGUGAAGUCAGGGCUUUUAGGGUAUCCAUCAUCUGAAUAACAUGCAUUGCACCCAUUAACCAAUUUCUCAUCUCGAUAAAUCAAAAUGAGUUCACCAAUUAAUGAGAGUCUUACUUUCUGCUAUUUAUUUACCAGAUUGCCAAAUACCAAAAAACAGCCAGAAUGAUAGCUAUUGUUUAUUAUGUACCUAUUAUGUCUUAGUCCAUUUGGGCUGCUCUGAAGGAUACUAGAGACGGGUGGCUACUAGAAUGCUAGGCGGCUUAAACAGAAGUUUAUGCUGUCACAGCUCUGGAGACUGAAGUCUGAGAUCAGGGUGCCAGCAUGGUUGAGUUCUUGUGAGGGCUCUCUUCUUGGUUGGCAGGAGGCCACCUUCUUGCUGUAUCAUCAUAUGGUGUACACCAGGGUGAAGCAAGCUCUCUUCUAUCUUAUUAUAAAGAUAAUCCCUUUCAUGAGGGCUGCGCGUUAUAUUAGUUCAUAUCAUAUUACAUGCAAAAUACCAUCUAGAAUCUUAAAAUUUAAAACUUCUAUUAAUUGCCACAAUCAUCCUAAAAGUAAGGAAUAUUCUUUUUUGUACAGAAAGGGGUGAGAGAAAUGUAACUUGCCUGAGACCACAGAACUCAUAAACAGUGGAGCUUGGAUUUGAGCUAGGGAGUUUUUAAUUUCAAAGUCAUACUUUUUUUUACAGUACUAAACUACCUCUAAACUCUGCGUGAAUGAUAUUAGGUGUGUGGGAUCACAAGCCCUGUUGGUGUCACUGCCCCUUACCUACUACUCCAGACUUAGAAGGAAAAGCAUGAAGUUGAUAGAUUUCACUCUUACUUUGGUUACCUUUUUAUUUCUUCUACUCCAUGCCUUUUAUAGCCUUUUAAAUAUUUUCUGCUUGAGAGCCAGUAUUUUUGCCUUUGUUUUGUUUUUGUCUUUUGUUUCUUUUUAAAAAUAUGUAACUAGAAAAAUACAUAUACAUUAAAACAUAUGUCAGUUUAUGAUAAAGAGGGAGACAACAUACAUUCAUUACUUAGGUAGAAAAGAGAUGUUAGAAGCAGGCAUUUCCCAUUCCUUCUCUUCUGAUUAUUGUGAACAAUAAUUAUGAUGACAAUUGUUUGCUAGGUUCACAUCCUCAGACUCUUAGCUCAAAGAUAAGCUUAUCUGUAAACCUCAACUGUCCUUUUUAAUUUUUAUAAUGUCUUCUUUUCCUCUGGAACGGAACUGGAAAAAGAUUUCUGAGGACUCUUACAAGGAGAAAGGAAAAAAACAGGAAAAAUAAAUAGAAGAAAGAAAACAUUAAAAUAGUUGAGGCUGGGUUUUGUGUGUGUCUGGGGUUUGGGCUGGUGUGCCUGUUUUUUAUUAGCUCUGCCCACAGCCCAGGGUUAACCUGGCAGCUCUCUGUGGAGUUGGCUGGCCUCUUUAUUGCCACGUGCACCCACCAGCUGAGCCAAAUCCCCGAAUAUGGAGCUAUGGGUGUAUAAAAUCAUACGUGGGUUUGGGGGCACUAGCCCUUUGCUCAAAGUAAUGAUGGAUGCCUUAGCUUUGCAGUAAUUUUAGUUGACUGGAUCAGUUUUCAUAUGGAAAUUUAAUUUUCGAUUUUCUUUGAUUAUUGCACUUAGGCAUUUCAAAGGACACAUUUAUGUAAACCAUUCUGAGUCUUUUCUAAGAAGCCAGCCCACAAACUUACCUUUUCUGUUAUGGAUAAAAGCAAAAUCAGUUUUUUUUUUUUUUAUUUAAAAACAACAGAGACAUUGUAAUUGUUUAUAUCAGUGUAUUGUUUCUCCUAAUUUUUAUAAUAAUGUACUUAUUGAUCUCAAUUAUAAAGAAGUAACAAUGGAGAGCUAACUCUAUAUAUUUAUAUUGCGUUUUAAGGCAAAACAAACAAGCAAAAAACAGCAAUCAAAAAACAGUCCAUUUUACUAAGGCAAGAAUCCUGGAUUUAUCAAAAGGAAGUAGGAGUUUCGACUCCCAUCUCUACCGUAUAUGGCAUUUCAGUUUUCUCACCUGCAAAAUGGCAGCACUAGGUCUACUGUGGGGACUCAGUGAGAAAGGAUGUCAAGCGUUGCGUACACGGCGAGGGCUCCGUAUCUGCUACUACCUUUCUUUGACUUAUCUGUACAAAUUAAUGAUAGAUUAAAGAAUCCAUCACUUAAACUUAC